GGGCGCAUAGCUCAGUUGGUUCAGAGCAUCUGGUUUACACCCAGAGGGUCGGAGGUUCGAAUCCUUCUGCGCCCA
rnacentral:tRNA from 1 species